GCUCUCCAUACUGUCCAUAAACCGUGGUCAUUGCUAGAUUGUGACCCUCAACCUCAUUGAACCCUUUGACAUGGUGUCACCUGUUUCGGAGAGCUCUGAUAUGUAACUUUCCAGGACAGCACAAGGUGUCUUUAAACUGUACUGUAAUUCACAGGUUGUAAAAACCAAUACCAUUAAGCAGUUGUUGUUACCCCCAACUUUGAAGACCAAAAAGAGCUGGAUUCACUGUCAGACUUUAAUGUUUCUGUCGAUCUUAGAGGAAUGCAUGAGAAUGUGAUGACAGGCAGUGGGAAGUCCUUGAGAGCUGGAGUGUGACUUCGUUCAAGUAAAAGUCAAAGUUGCUAUUAGAGCUUAAAGCCUGUUCAUUAAUGCAACCAUGGCAUGUCCAUAGAACUGACGGGGUUCAUGCGUGACUUCACCCCAGCUGUCUGACUCACUUUGCUGGUGGAGAUUUCUCCUUUGUCACUUUCUCAUCUCCUCUCUCACUUUCCAUUACAAGUAAGUGGACUUUUUCUGUGUAUUGAAUAGACUUUCAAACAGGCAGCUAGUAACACUAUUAGCAGCGUGGCUGGUUAGGAAUAUAAACAGGUGUUCUGGUUAGGCUGGUUCAACAGAGGCAUCUCAGUGAGAACUUGGUGGUUAGAAUCAAAAACAACUUAUUUGUCCACCUUCAAAUCAAAGUGUCUCAGUUUUUGGAUGGGUUGGCAUCAUAAUAUCCAGAAGCAAGCACAAUGCACUCCUGCUGCGUCCUGAAGAGUCCUGGUAAAUGUUCUGUAGAUGGGACCGGGAACCAUGAUAAUGCUGUAGAGGACAGUGACAAAAUUACAGUUUUGAUCAUUCAGGUUGGUCUAGUUGUUAUCAAUUUCUAGUUGCCGUGUUGUUAAAAGUCUGUUGAAGUUGUGUGUCUUAAAAGGAUGACCAAAGUGUGUAUCCUCAGUCUGAUACAGGUGUUUUUGUGUAGUCUAAAGUGUUCAGGUUGAACUGAUGGUCGGGUUAAAGAAGAAGGAUCUUUUUUAUCGCAGAUCUAGAGGUCCUCUCUGGUGGCUUUGGUUAGGACCUUGUGUUUGGCUGGUGAUGAACAAGGAAUUUUCCUGGUAGUCGUCUCCAUCAGCAGCAGCAGGAGCAGGAUGGAGCCUUGUCUUGCCCUCUGUGUGCUUGGCUGCUAAAUUUAAGAUUUCCUGCGCUGGCUGCUCAUGUUUGGCUCCUUUUGCCAGAUGUCGAACAGAUGGGGUUCACUAAUGUCACCCCAGGGUGCGAAGGUUUUCACUCUAGCUCUUUCAGCCUGUGUCACACUUUUUUAUUUUUUCCUGUCAAUUCUAUAAGUGUUGCUUUCUGUCUGGCAUAUUUAAAAAUAUCCUCUUUAAUUCCCCAUCCCCAUCCCCCGCUGCUCUCCUUUGUUUAAAGAGGACUGAACAUAGAGUAAGGACAGAGAGAAGGAGAGAGCUUUUCAUUCUUGGAUUGGGUGAAACCUUCCCCCAUUCUUCACUGCUAGACAAGCAGCCGUGUUCCACCUGAAACGCCUUUGGAUUUACGCUGCAAGCUGCAGCCAUCUUUCUUCUGUUAAUCACCUCGGGGCUGGGCGCUCCAGCUCACCACGUCCCCAGGCCGAUGGAUGACCCGGAGGGGAAAUCGAAUGGAAACUAGCCAAGCCUGACGCUGGUGUGGUACUUUGUAGGUGCCACACUGUGAGGGAGAGAGAAAAUCAGAGGGGAACAAUUCAGCAUGUGCAGGAGAAAGCAGACAAAAGAAAUCUUUGCUACUAAUUUAAAGUUGUUUUCUUGUCCCAAGAUGAAUCCCUGUUGGUCAGAUAAUCUUUUGUUGUUGAGAAUGAUUUGACAGUGACAAAGGAACACAACUACAUGACAUCUCUAAAAUUAACUUUUAACUUAAAGCUGCAAAUAACAUGUCAUAACUGUAUGUUUCACCGUUUGCCUGGUAUUUGAUGACCUUUUUACAAACUGCCUUUUUUUUAAUCUUUUAUACACCCAGCUCAGAAUGAAGGGUGCUUGAGAUUAACAAGAUUUAUUAAGUGCAAAAAGAAAAAUUAUGUGUUUAACACUUGUGGCAGCAGGUAGACUCAGCAGCAGCAGAAAGCAAAAAAAUGAUUCAGGAUUUUUUUUUCUUUUUUUUUUUUUUUUUACACGAGGAGUAGAAGUAUCCGUUAUUAUGUUGAAUGGAUUUUUAUAAUAUUGUAGAUAAAGUUAUACCUCACGAUUGACAGCUUAUCUUUUCAAGAGUUUUACAGCACAUACUUUUCUCCCAAACCGGUGUUGCAAUGAGUCACAGGAUUGCAUUCUUUCUUUUCCUUACUUGUUGAUGUCAAUUAAGUUGUCGUCUAAUGUUCAAGUUCAUGAGACUUCCUCGGACCAGCCUCAUGCACAGCUCUUCAAGUUGUCACUGUUGGAGGUAGAAAAUCAAAAAUAGUACGAUGGUGGGAAUGGCGAUUUUAUCCAUGUUUACACCCACGCUUUUCAACGUGUUGAUGUCAGAUGCCCCUGCUGGCCUAAUGAUCUAUCAGUGCAGAGACAAGCAAUGCACAUUGUUGAUGAUGAUAUCACGUAGGUUCGUCAUGUAAAGUCUGUCAGUUGGUUUGCGAUAAUGAAAGUGUGAAACCUAAACAGACCGAACCAAAUGUAUGUAAUGUAACAAAAACAUGGACCACAGUCAAAACUUUCAAGUGUGAAAACACCCUAAGACCCUUUCUUUGCAAACAAAGGGUGUCCCAACCCUUCAUACGAAAGCCACAUUACAUGUUGUGAAAAUGCACGAGGUUCAGCCACCACCAAUGACGAUCUUCAAUGAUAAAAGUUACGAACAAUGGCUCUGUUUUAUUCUGUAACUGUUAACAUUUGUGGGUUUUUUUUUUCUUCCUUUUUUUUAAAUGAGAUAUGCUGUUAGCCAGCAGACAUAAAAAUCUGGUAGUGCAGCUUACCUCCUAGGGUUUAUUUUACAACCCAAACUUAAACUUUUUAUUCUAAGGUCAUGGGUGGUGCAUAUACUCAGAUUCCUCCUCCAGCAUCUACUGUGCACCUUAAUGUAGUAUGGACUUAACACAGGAGGACUAAAAUAAAUAAAAAAUUAAAAAAUAAUAAUAAAUAGAAAAAACAACACAAAAAACUUUUCAUCUCAUAUGGGUUGAAGCCCUAACCAGUGCAGACAUGUAAUAAUGGAUGUAUCUUCAAUUCAUAUAUAAUAUCUUUUUAAAUUUAUGAACAAAGUUGGUUAAUUCUUUGUGAUCCAUCACUUUAAAACUGGCGUACAGUUUUGCAAAUGUGGAAAACUGUUUGAAGAAGCACUUUGUGGCGCCUGAUAUGGGCUUGGAGUAGUUUUAGGAAAGUGAGGUCUUUGCUUCCCUCUCAUGUCUCGUAGUUGUGUUGAGGCUGAUGCAUUGGACACCAAAAUCAGCAAUUAAGUUACAUUAGAGGGUGAUAUGUGCAAUUUUCUUUUUUUUUCUUUUUUUUGACUGUCCAUCACUGCCUGACAUUUUUUAAGUGGAUGAGAACCAGUUCAGAUAUGUUGACUCAGGCCUUCUCCAUACUUGAUGCAGUAAUUUAGCCGUGCAUGUUCUUAAAGUUGGAAAAGAAACUUGCAUGUGAUUAAUUUGCUGCAAACCAACUGACAGAACUGAACCGAGGGCAUUCAGGAGAAAGGGACCCAUGGGGGUCUUGGCUGCUGAAGCAGUUCCUUGCUUCGCCUGAUUAGUAAUCCAGCCGUGGUCCUCUAAUCAGUUGCCAGUACUUCAAGAAAACCACAUACUCUAAGAAGUAAUCAUGCAACAAUACAGGAGAAUUACCCAAUGAUAGGAGGACUGACAUGAGCUGUACAACCAGCACUUAGCCUGUUUUUGUCUGUUGAUGUUUCUGCAUGUUCAGGGCCUGUAAUGAUGUCAGCAGAAUCAUUACAGAGCCUCUCUCCACUGCCAAGUGCUAAUGAACAGUGUUGGACGAGGAAUUAUCUGCUUGAGCCAUUUGGGUGUGCUUCCAUAUCAGGGUAUUAGUAUUCAUGUUUGUAAUUUUAAGCUUCCUGGAUACUUGCUCAUCAUUUUAGUUUAAGACAGAGAGAGAGAGAGCUUGAAGCAAUGGGGUUUUGAUGCAAUACUCCAAAGAGGCGCAGAUAUGAAGCUACAGUGAUGUUUUUACAAAUUCACCGUCUGGGGGGUUGUGUUGACAGAAUAGGUUGUGUUUAGCUUUAGCUGUAGUCCAUGAAUUUGACAGAGUUUGGUGAUUCUUAAAAGAGUAAGCUGAAUGAUUGUAAUAUAACAAGGUAAAACUAUUGACUGUAAAGAAGCUGGACAAAGUCUCUAUGAUGGCACCCAUUUGUUUUAAAGCACCAUCUUUAUUGGAAUGCCAAUAUAACCUUAUUAUUAUCAACCCAAAAAGGAGUAAAAAGAUAGUGGUUUAAUUGAAUAGUCCUCUGAAGUCAGCAUCUGCGGUAGUUUAUAGUUUUUACAGAGCAGAUUCACUCAACAUCAGAACAUCCGCCGAGUUCAAUAUAGCUGCCUUUGUCUUUUCCUGACUCCUUAUAAAUACUUUUCCUUGACCUCAUUAUGCCCGGCGAUGAAAACCUUUAAAUCUUGAUAUCUUCAAAACAAACGAGUCAUGAAAAAAUCAAACUGUGCACAGUGUAGGAAAAUAAAAUUGGCUAGAUUAGAAUCCAUUUUUUUUGUACAAGGCUGUCCACAUAUUUAUUUCUGCUGGCAGAAAGGCAGGCACUGAAACACUCCCCCUGACUUCUGCAGCCACUCUGGAGCAUACACUCUAACUGCAGUUUUUCACUUUUUUUAAAAUUUAUUUAUUUAUUUAUUUCUUUACGUUAGAGGUUGCUUCUUGGUCAAAGCAUUGGAUUUUAUAUUUACUUUUUAUAUUUAGUCGAUUAGGAGCUAAGUACGAGCAUCUUGUUGCCCAAAGCAGGUUUGUUAAAGUUAGCUGUAGCUCUCACUUUGCUGGGGUAAUAGAAAUGUACAGAGUACACUGUGAUAUCACCAUUAGAAGUUAAACAGAGGAGACUGUGCUCGCUCUAUUUCUCUUUUAAAAUGA